rnacentral:rRNA from 1 species
UAGAGUUUGAUCCUGGCUCAGGACGAACGCUGGCGGCGUGCCUAACACAUGCAAGUCGGGCGGAGAUAUUCCGGGAGCAAUCCGGGGAUAUUUCAGCGGCGGACGGGUGAGUAACGCGUGGGCAACCUGCCUUUCACUGGGGGAUAACGCGGCGAAAGCCGCGGUAAUACCGCAUAUGGCGGGGGUAUCGCAUGAUACCCUGGCCAAAGGAGCAAUCCGGUGACAGAUGAGCCCGCGUCCGAUUAGGUUGUUGGUGGGGUAACGGCCCACCAAGCCAAUGAUCGGUAGCCGACCUGAGAGGGUGAUCGGCCACACUGGAACUGAGACACGGUCCAGACUCCUGCGGGAGGCAGCAGUGGGGAAUAUUGGGCAAUGGGGGAAACCCUGACCCAGCAACGCCGCGUGAGGGAAGAAGGUCCUCGGAUUGUAAACCUCUGCUCCUGGAGAAGAGAAGAAGACGGUAUCCAGGGAGGAAGCCCCGGCUAACUACGUGCCAGCAGCCGCGGUAAUACGUAGGGGGCAAGCGUUGUCCGGAAUAAUUGGGCGUAAAGGGCGCGUAGGCGGCGCGGCAAGUCAGCAGUGGAAGUCCCAUUUUCAAGGUGGGGAGGGCUGUUGAAACUGCCGUGCUUGAGUGCAGGAGAGGUUAUCGGAAUUCCCGGUGUAGCGGUGAAAUGCGUAGAGAUCGGGAGGAACACCAGUGGCGAAGGCGGGUAACUGGACUGCAACUGACGCUGAGGCGCGAAAGUGUGGGGAGCAAACAGGAUUAGAUACCCUGGUAGUCCACACUGUAAACGAUGAAUGCCAGGUGUAGGGGGUAUCGACCCCUUCUGUGCCGCAGUAAACACAAUAAGCAUUCCGCCUGGGGAGUACGGUCGCAAGAUUAAAACUCAAAGGAAUUGACGGGGGCCCGCACAAGCAGCGGAGCAUGUGGUUUAAUUCGAAGCAACGCGAAGAACCUUACCAGGUCUUGACAUCCAGGUAAACCCUGAGAGAUCAGGCGUGCCUUCGGGCAAUCUGAGACAGGUGGUGCAUGGUUGUCGUCAGCUCGUGUCGUGAGAUGUUGGGUUAAGUCCCGCAACGAGCGCAACCCUUGCUGAUAGUUACUAACACGUGAUGGUGAGGACUCUAUCAGGACCGCCGGGGACAACUCGGAGGAAGGUGGGGACGACGUCAAAUCAUCAUGCCCCUUAUGGCCUGGGCUACACACGUGCUACAAUGGCCGAGACAGAGGGAAGCGAAGGCGCAAGCCGGAGCGAAUCUCCAAAAGGCGGCCACAGUUCGGAUUGUGGGCUGCAACCCGCCCGCACGAAGCCGGAGUUGCUAGUAAUCGCGAAUCAGCAUGUCGCGGUGAAUACGUUCCCGGGCCUUGUACACACCGCCCGUCACACCAUGGGAGUUGGGAGCACCCGAAGGCAGAGAGGUAACCGCAAGGGGCCAUCUGACGAAGGUGAGAUCAAUGACUGGGGUGAAGUCGUAACAAGGUAACC